UUACUUCAGUAGUACAUAUACUAAAACUGGAACCAUACAGAGAAGAUUAAAUGGUUCCCGUGCGAAAGUGACGCUUUAAACAGGAGAUACAGGAAAGUUGU
rnacentral:snRNA from 1 species